rnacentral:rRNA from 1 species
GACGAACGCUGGCGGCGUGCUUAACACAUGCAAGUCGUACGGAAAGGCCCUGCUUUUGUGGGGUGCUCGAGUGGCGAACGGGUGAGUAACACGUGAGUAACCUGCCCUUGACUUUGGGAUAACUUCAGGAAACUGGGGCUAAUACCGGAUAGGAGCUCCUGCUGCAUGGUGGGGGUUGGAAAGUUUCGGCGGUUGGGGAUGGACUCGCGGCUUAUCAGCUUGUUGGUGGGGUAGUGGCUUACCAAGGCUUUGACGGGUAGCCGGCCUGAGAGGGUGACCGGCCCCAUUGGGCCUGAGAUACGGCCCAGACUCCUACGGGAGGCAGCAGUGGGGAAUAUUGCACAAUGGGCGGAAGCCUGAUGCAGCAACGCCGCGUGCGGGAUGACGGCCUUCGGGUUGUAAACCGCUUUCGCCUGUGACUAAGCGUGAGUGACGGUAAUGGGUAAAGAAGCACCGGCUAACUACGUG